ACGUCCGUCGUGAAGAGGGAAACAACCCAGACCGCCAGCUAAGGUCCCAAAGUCUAUAUUAAGUGGGAAACGAAGUGGGAAGGCUUAGACAGCUAGGAUGUUGGCUUAGAAGCAGCCAUCAUUUAAAGAAAGCGUAAUAGCUCACUAGUCGAGUCGGCCUGCGCGGAAGAUGUAACGGGGCUCAAAUAUAGCACCGAAGCUGCGGCAUCAGUAGCAAUACUGUUGGGUAGGGGAGCGUUCUGUAAGCGGAUGAAGAUGGCUCGAGAGGGCUGUUGGACGUAUCAGAAGUGCGAAUGCUGACAUAAGUAACGAUAAAACGGGUGAAAAACCCGUUCGCCGGAAGACCAAGGGUUCCUGUCCAACGUUAAUCGGGGCAGGGUGAGUCGGCCCCUAAGACGAGGCUGAAAAGCGUAGUCGAUGGGAAACGGGUUAAUAUUCCCGUACUUGGAUAAACUGCGAUGUGGGGACGGAGCAGGUUAGGUUAUCGCACUGUUGGAUAUGUGCGUUUAAGUUGGUAGGUGUGAAGUUUAGGCAAAUCCGGACUUCUUUAACACCGAGAGAUGAUGACGAGGCUCUACGGAGCUGAAGUAACCGAUACCACACUUCCAGGAAAAGCCACUAAGCUUCAGGUUUAUCUAAACCGUACUGAAAACCGACACAGGUGGUCAGGUAGAGAAUACUCAGGCGCUUGAGAGAACUCGGGUGAAGGAACUAGGCAAAAUAGCACCGUAACUUCGGGAGAAGGUGCGCCGGCGUAGAUUGUAGUCCCUAGCGGGCGAAGGUUGAACCGGUCGAAGAUACCAGCUGGCUGCAACUGUUUAUUAAAAACACAGCACUCUGCAAACACGAAAGUGGACGUAUAGGGUGUGAUGCCUGCCCGGUGCUGGAAGGUUAAUUGAUGGUGUAAUCGAAAGAGAAGCUCCUGAUCGAAGCCCCAGUAAACGGCGGCCGUAACUAUAACGGUCCUAAGGUAGCGAAAUUCCUUGUCGGGUAAGUUCCGACCUGCACGAAUGGCAUAAUGAUGGCCAGGCUGUCUCCACCCGAGACUCAGUGAAAUUGAAAUCGCCGUGAAGAUGCGGUGUACCCGCGGCUAGACGGAAAGACCCCGUGAACCUUUACUAUAGCUUGACACUGAACAUUGAAUUUUGAUGUGUAGGAUAGGUGGGAGACUUAGAAGUAGUCACGCCAGUGAUUAUGGAGUCGUCCUUGAAAUACCACCCUUUAACGUUUGAUGUUCUAACGAAGAUUACGAAACGUGGUCUCGGACAGUGUCUGGUGGGUAGUUUGACUGGGGCGGUCUCCUCCCAAAGAGUAACGGAGGAGCACGAAGGUUUGCUAAUGACGGUCGGACAUCGUCAGGUUAGUGCAAUGGUAUAAGCAAGCUUAACUGCGAGACAGACAAGUCGAGCAGGUACGAAAGUAGGUCAUAGUGAUCCGGUGGUUCUGAAUGGAAGGGCCAUCGCUCAACGGAUAAA
rnacentral:rRNA from 1 species